rnacentral:rRNA from 1 species
GCAUGGUCUUGUUAUUAAAGAAUUUCGGUUAUCGAUGGGGAUGCGUUCCAUUAGGCAGUCGGUGAGGUAACGGCUCACCAAACCUUCGAUGGAUAGGGGUUCUGAGAGGAAGGUCCCCCACAUUGGAACUGAGACACGGUCCAAACUCCUACGGGAGGCAGCAGUGAGGAAUAUUGGUCAAUGGGCGCAGGCCUGAACCAGCCAAGUAGCGUGAAGGAUGACUGCCCUAUGGGUUGUAAACUUCUUUUAUAUGGGAAUAAAGUUUUCCACGUGUGGAAUUUUGUAUGUACCAUAUGAAUAAGGAUCGGCUAACUCCGUGCCAGCAGCCGCGGUAAUACGGAGGAUCCGAGCGUUAUCCGGAUUUAUUGGGUUUAAAGGGAGCGUAGGUGGACAGUUAAGUCAGUUGUGAAAGUUUGCGGCUCAACCGUAAAAUUGCAGUUGAUACUGGCUGUCUUGAGUACAGUAGAGGUGGGCGGAAUUCGUGGUGUAGCGGUGAAAUGCUUAGAUAUCACGAAGAACUCCGAUUGCGAAGGCAGCUCACUGGACUGCAACUGACACUGAUGCUCGAAAGUGUGGGUAUCAAACAGGAUUAGAUACCCUGGUAGUCCACACAGUAAACGAUGAAUACUCGCUGUUUGCGAUAUACAGUAAGCGGCC